AUCAAGCUGACGAGUCCCAAAUAGGACGAAACACGCGUCCUGGAU
rnacentral:hammerhead_ribozyme from 1 species